rnacentral:rRNA from 1 species
UGGGGAAUUUUGGACAAUGGGCGAAAGCCUGAUCCAGCAAUGCCGCGUGUGUGAAGAAGGCCUUCGGGUUGUAAAGCACUUUUGUCCGGAAAGAAAUCCUUGGCUCUAAUACAGUCGGGGGAUGACGGUACCGGAAGAAUAAGCACCGGCUAACUACGUGCCAGCAGCCGCGGCAAUACGUAGGGUGCAAGCGUUAAUCGGAAUUACUGGGCGUAAAGCGUGCGCAGGCGGUUUGCUAAGACCGAUGUGAAAUCCCCGGGCUCAACCUGGGAACUGCAUUGGUGACUGGCAGGCUAGAGUAUGGCAGAGGGGGGUAGAAUUCCACGUGUAGCAGUGAAAUGCGUAGAGAUGUGGAGGAAUACCGAUGGCGAAGGCAGCCCCCUGGGCCAAUACUGACGCUCAUGCACGAAAGCGUGGGGAGCAAACAGGAUUAGAUACCCUGGUAGUCCACGCCCUAAACGAUGUCAACUAGUUGUUGGGGAUUCAUUUCCUUAGUAACGUAGCUAACGCGUGAAGUUGACCGCCUGGGGAGUACGGUCGCAAGAUUAAAACUCAAAUGAAUUGACGGGUCAUAGCUGUUUCCU